CAUGGAGAUGGUAGGACAUUU
rnacentral:miRNA from 1 species